rnacentral:rRNA from 1 species
AACGAACGCUGGCGGCAUGCCUAACACAUGCAAGUCGAACGAGACCUUCGGGUCUAGUGGCGCACGGGUGCGUAACGCGUGGGAACCUGCCCUUAGGUUCGGAAUAACUCCCCGAAAGGGGUGCUAAUACCGGAUAAUGUCUUCGGACCAAAGAUUUAUCGCCUUUGGAUGGGCCCGCGUUGGAUUAGCUAGUUGGUAGGGUAAAAGCCUACCAAGGCGACGAUCCACAGCUGGUCUGAGAGGAUGAUCAGCCACACUGGGACUGAGACACGGCCCAGACUCCUACGGGAGGCAGCAGUGGGGAAUAUUGGACAAUGGGCGAAAGCCUGAUCCAGCAAUGCCGCGUGAGUGAUGAAGGCCUUAGGGUUGUAAAGCUCUUUUACCCGGGAUGAUAAUGGCAGUACCGGGAGAAUAAGCUCCGGCUAACUCCGUG